UACGUAGGGGGCAAGCGUUGUCCGGAUUUAUUGGGCGUAAAGCGUGCGCAGGCGGUUUUGUAAGCCAGAUGUGAAAUCCCCGGGCUUAACCUGGGAAUGGCAUUUGGGACUGCAAGGCUUGAGUGCGGCAGAGGAGACUGGAAUUCCUGGUGUAGCAGUGAAAUGCGUAGAUAUCAGGAGGAAUACCGAUGGCGAAGGCAGGUCUCUGGGCUGACACUGACGCUCAUGCACGAAAGCGUGGGGAGCAAACAGG
rnacentral:rRNA from 1 species